UAGAAGGUGAGCAGGGAGAGGGGAUGGAGAAGUGGGCACAACUUCCAGCUGCUCUCCCUUGGCACAGUUCACCACUGGCUGGAUGCUGAGCCCAUUAUGCAGCUGCAGGGAAGUUAAGAAGUAGGAGUGGAGAAUCAGUGGCAGCAAGGAUUCAGCUGAAAGUUGUCCAGCACCAGCACUGCUCCAUGCUGUCUCAGUAUGGCCAUGGCUGUGGGCAUAAGUGAAGCCCUGGGGCGCUGUGAGCCAAAUCCAGUGGCUGCUUCAGGCUGGAUCCAGCCUACAGGUCCUAUGUUGCUGAUCUCUCAUUUAGGGAAGGCUCUAUCAGACCUCUUAGACAUAGUCUGAAGACCUCCAGGAGUCCACUGAUCACAGAUUGAAAACCACUGGCCUAGAACACAAAUGAAAAUGAAGUCCUUUCUUUAUACUUUUAUUGAACAGGGAGUGCAACCCAUGAGCACAAGGAAUUUUUAGUCAAGGUAUGGGAUGAAGAACUAUGACAGUUCAACUUUGUUGUAUAUCAACUCAAGUCAAGUCAGUCCCGAGGCCUCACUGACCAUUGGGGCACCUCUGAUGUAGCAAUAACUUCCCUCCAUCCUCCAUUCCUCCAUUGUA